rnacentral:rRNA from 1 species
UACGAAGGGGGCUAGCGUUGCUCGGAAUUACUGGGCGUAAAGGGCUCGUAGGUGGCCAACUAAGUCAGACGUGAAAUCCCUCGGCUUAACCGGGGAACUGCGUCUGAUACUGGAUGGCUUGAGAUUGGGAGAGGGAUGCGGAAUUCCAGGUGUAGCGGUGAAAUGCGUAGAUAUCUGGAGGAACACCGGUGGCGAAGGCGGCAUCCUGGACCAACACUGACACUGAGGAGCGAAAGCCAGGGGAGCAAACGGGG